rnacentral:lncRNA from 1 species
AGGACUCCCUGCUCAUCGCGUCAACUACAACAUUCGCUUUACCCGGAUGGUAACUCAAAUCAAAAUCACGAUCCUUCAGUAGUUCAAGCCAUCUCCUCUGCCACAUAUUUAACGCUUCUGAUCAAAUACCUAUUUCAAACUCUUGUGAUCAUUGAACACUUCAAACUUGGAGCCAAACAGGUAUUGCCUCCAAAUCUUCAACAUGAAUACCAC